GAUCAGGGAAGCAGGGCCCGGGGAUAAGGAAACUGCGAAAAAACUGGAGCAGCUCAACUCUAACUGUUCAACUCUUCCAUUUCUUCCGCUAGUUGCUGCAGUAUGGCUAUAGCUGUCCCUACCUGCUGCUUCUGUGUGCUAAUUCCGCUUCAAGGCUUCUUUCGGACGCGAUCUCGUCACGUCGCAUCGAUCAAUUGGCUCCAUCACUUCUAACGCUACCAG
rnacentral:misc_RNA from 1 species